UAACCUAGUCGCAGGGCGCAGGUGUCGCUUCGCCAACGUCCUCGUUGAACGUCCGUGCUGCAAAUGAGCUGCUAUGCGUAGACCGCGGUCUUCAGCAGACCAACUUGCGAGACGAGACGCCACCCAUGGAAUCCACGCGUGCACGUCGCCUUGCAGCCGGCGCAGCAGAACUACUUUGCAAACAGGAGGGCGGGGAUCUCGCCAUGCUGGAGCUGCUGCUGCUGCUGCUGCUGCUGGAUGCUGCAGCCGCUGCUUCUAUUGAAGUGACGGCGACCUGGGGCACAUUCCAGUGUUGCCUGCUGCUGUUGUUGCUGAGAGAGGCUCUCAAUACGAUCGUGCACAGCCCAGUGUCCCUGCCUGCUGCACCCAUUGAAAAAAAGUUGUGUUCAGUAAAACUUCUUGUGAACCUGUCCAAGAAGCAAAAAACUUUUUGAACUUUUGUUGACAGACAUAAAGAAAAAUAUGUCGAUG